rnacentral:rRNA from 1 species
AACGAACGCUGGCGGCAGGCUUAACACAUGCAAGUCGAACGCGUGUAGCAAUACACGAGUGGCGCACGGGUGAGUAACACGUGGAUUAUCUGCCUUUUGGUUCGGAAUAACCCCGGGAAACUGGGGCUAAUACCGGAUGGUUCCUUCGGGAUAAAGAUUUAUCGCCAAAAGAUGAGUCCGCGUCCGAUUAGCUAGUUGGCGGGGUAAUGGCCCACCAAGGCUACGAUCGGUAGCUGGUCUGAGAGGACGAUCAGCCACACUGGGACUGAGACACGGCCCAGACUCCUACGGGAGGCAGCAGUGGGGAAUAUUGGACAAUGGGGGCAACCCUGAUCCAGCCAUGCCGCGUGAGUGAUGAAGGCCUUCGGGUUGUAAAGCUCUUUUGGCGGGGACGAUGAUGACGGUACCCGCAGAAUAAGCCCCGGCUAACUUCGUGCCAGCCGCCGCCGUAAAAC